rnacentral:rRNA from 1 species
UAGCUAGUUGGUGAGGUAAAGGCUUACCAAGGCGACGAUCUGUAGCGGGUCUGAGAGGAUGAUCCGCCACACUGGAACUGAGACACGGUCCAGACUCCUACGGGAGGCAGCAGUGGGGAAUUUUGGACAAUGGGGGCAACCCUGAUCCAGCCAUGCCGCGUGAGUGAAGAAGGCCUUCGGGUUGUAAAGCUCUUUCGGCCGGGAAGAAAUCGCAUGGGCCAAUACCCUGUGUGGAUGACGGUACCGGAAUAAGAAGCACCGGCUAACUACGUGCCAGCAGCCGCGGUAAUACGUAGGGUGCGAGCGUUAAUCGGAAUUACUGGGCGUAAAGCGUGCGCAGGCGGUUUUGUAAGACAGGCGUGAAAUCCCCGGGCUUAACCUGGGAACUGCGUUUGUGACUGCAAGGCUAGAGUACGGCAGAGGGGGGUGGAAUUCCACGUGUAGCAGUGAAAUGCGUAGAGAUGUGGAGGAACACCAAUGGCGAAGGCAGCCCCCUGGGUCGAUACUGACGCUCAUGCACGAAAGCGUGGGUAGCAAACAGGAUUAGAUACCCUGGUAGUCCACGCCCUAAACUAUGUCAACUAGGUGUUGGGUGGGUAAAACCAUUUAGUACCGUAGCUAACGCGUGAAGUUGACCGCCUGGGGAGUACGGCCGCAAGGUUAAAACUCAAAGGAAUUGACGGGGACCCGCACAAGCGGUGGAUGAUGUGGAUUAAUUCGAUGCAACGCGAAAAACCUUACCUACCCUUGACAUGCCAGGAACUUGCCAGAGAUGGCUUGGUGCCCGAAAGGGAGCCUGGACACAGGUGCUGCAUGGCUGUCGUCAGCUCGUGUCGUGAGUUGUUGGGUUAAGUCCCGCAACGAGCGCAACCCUUGUCGUUAAUUGCCAUCAUUUAGUUGGGCACUUUAACGAGACUGCCGGUGACAAACCGGAGGAAGGUGGGGAUGACGUCAAGUCCUCAUGGCCCUUAUGGGUAGGGCUUCACACGUCAUACAAUGGUCGGUACAAAGGGUUGCCAAGCCGCGAGGCGGAGCCAAUCCCAGAAAGCCGAUCGUAGUCCGGAUUGCAGGCUGCAACUCGCCUGCAUGAAGUCGGAAUCGCUAGUAAUCGUGGAUCAGCAUGUCACGGUGAAUACGUUCCCGGGUCUUGUACACACCGCCCGUCACACCAUGGGAGCGGGUUCCGCCAGAAGUAGGUAGCCUAACCGCAAGGGGGGCGCUUACCACGGCGGGGUUCGUGACUGGGGUGAAGUCGGAACAAGGUAGCCGUAGGGGAACCUGCGGCUG